rnacentral:lncRNA from 1 species
UGCAGAGUUGCCCCAGAGUCCUACCACUGACAGCUGUACCUUUUGUGUGUGUCUGUGUUAACCAUAGAUUCCUCCCAGAGCUCAGAUACUCCCGGCUCUCCUGGGAACACAGUGUAUGCACAAGUCAGUCACCCGAUGCAGGAAAUGAAAAUCCAAAAUCCUAUAAAAAAUGACUCCAUGACAAUUUACUCCAUAGUUAAUCACUCCAGAGAGCCCGUUUCUCCUAGGCUGAAUACUCUUAAGGACAUCAAGUAAGUUGGUGAAAGACUUUAAAGAAAGCCAAGCAGAACACACCUCCUGAUCCCUUGGAAGAGCACAGAAAAGAAGCCUGUUUUCCAACCGGCAAUGGGAUCCAGAUACCCAGGGUGAUCACUUCAGACUUGAUCCUCCAUACACAUGUCAGACGCUUCAGGAGUGGCAGGAUCUGUAGAGACAUAACCCCAAAAUUGCUUUCCAAUCAAAUCCAGGACAAAUCCUGCUUUGGAUAACAUACCCACGUGCUGCUUCCUCUCUGAUAACUAAACGAUCAGACUUUCGAUGGACAGAUCAUGAUUCAGCAAGGAAUUGUUUCUCCUCUAGAAGGCAGCAGGAUGCGAUUGGCUUGUAGAAAGAGCAUGGUGUUUGGCUAAAUGUGUAGCAUCUGGCAUUGGAUGGGCCCACACACAUGCCCUGACAAAUCAUUUACUUAGACAGGCCUCCUGGGGUAAUUCCUAUGUUCUUGGACUUUUAAUCUCAUAGCCAAGAAUAAGAGGAGGAUAGCGAUACACCGGUUCCAUUGCUCACACCAGGAAUCUAAGCCAUACCUGACUACGGUUUAAUCACCAAGCACUUGAGACUCUACCUCCAAAAUAUAU